CACAUCCUGUGCUCAGUCUCCAGUAUGAGCAUGCUUUAAUUUUCCUUACUUUUGUCUUAACAUCAGCUGAAUGGAGUGUUCAUUUUGGUCAUUCAGUUUUGUUUUAUUAUUAUUAUUUUUAUUUAACUAAUAUUAAUUUAUUAAUAGCCUUCUCUAACCUUUUAUAAGAAUCUUUUCUACAUUCAACAUGGCACAAAGACAGAAGAGAGUCAUAGUGUCUGAAGACAAACCCAAAUCUCAAGAAGACACUGGAUCACCUGAGUCUGAAGGAUUGAAACUUGUGAGACAAGACAGCAAGAAAUUAGCUCCACCUAAUAUGUCUGAAAACAAAGUCAAACCUCAGAGUGAAAGAAAAUGUGAGAUGGAAAGUAGAAUAACAGAUUCACAAACCAGCAGAUCGCUUAAAGGUGAAGUACUGAAACCUGUGAGACGGAACAGCAUUCGAGAUCGACCCAGCAUGUCUGAAGACACACUCAAACCUCAAGAAAACACUGGAUACCUUGAGUUUGAAGGACUGGAAAUUAAUUGUGUGACAAAACAGCAAGGAAAUACUGUAGAUUCACUUAAUGUUUUCUGGAGUGAAGAGUGCCAGUAUCCCUCAGAACUGAGUUCUGAGUUCUAGCAUGUAAUGGGAAAUGCUUCAUGUACUCCCACAUGAUAGCAGUGCAUGUGUUUCAUGAACUGUAAGACAUAUAUUUGUACAUCGCAUAUUUGUACUUUAGUAACUAUAUUAGUAAGCAAAAGCUAAUGUCUGUAACUGGUUUUGAUAUGGUUUUUGAUGUUUUCUCAGAAUAUUUUAUGUGUAUAAGUUCUGUUAAAUCUGGCAUUAACAGGUAUGUUGAUCACAGUUACAAUGAGCAUCUUUUUUUCAUGAAAAAUGUGGUUUAGAGGAGAUUGAACACAAAAUGAAAUUUUAAAUCCUUGGUGAUUAAUCAUAUCAUCUGAUCACAUGCCUGUGUAACUGUUUUCAUUAUUGUGAAAUAGGAAACCUUGUCUAAAGUACUCCCUUGAAGGUUUUAAACUUUGAACUAAACUGAGCAUUAAUGUGAUCUUUUUUAUAAAGCCUGUAAAGUUUUGUAGGAUUGUACAUUAACAUGCUAUAUGUAAAUAAAUAAUGGCAUAGGCUUAUUAUUUAACA
ensembl:lncRNA